AUUGAACGCUGGCGGCAGGCCUAACACAUGCAAGUCGAACGAGUGGCGGACGGGUGAGUAAUGUCUGGGAAACUGCCCGAUGGAGGGGGAUAAAUACUGGAAACGGUAGCUAAUACCGCCUACCAUCGGAUGUGCCCAGAUGGGAUUAGCUAGUAGGUGGGGUAACGGCUCACCAGGGCGACGAUCCCUAGCUGGUCUGAGAGGAUGACCAGCCACACUGGAACUGAUACACGGUCUAGACUCUGACGGGAGGCAGCAGUGUGGAAUAUUGCACAAUGGGCGCAAGCCUGAUGCAGCCAUGCCGCGUGUAUGAAGAAGGCCUUCGGGUUGUAAAGUACUUUCAGCGGGGAUGCGUUACCCGCAGAAGAAGCACCGGCUAACUCCGUGCCAGCAGCCGCGGUAAUAC
rnacentral:rRNA from 1 species